rnacentral:tRNA from 1 species
UGGCUCAGUUGGUAGAGCAUGGCGCUUGCAACACAAAGAUUGUGGGUUCGAUACCCAC